UACGUAGGGUGCAAGCGUUGUCCGGAAUUAUUGGGCGUAAAGAGCUCGUAGGCGGUUUGUCGCGUCGGCUGUGAAAGCCCGGAGCUCAACUCCGGGUCUGCAGUCGAUACGGGCAGACUUGAGUGUUGCAGGGGAGACUGGAAUUCCUGGUGUAGCGGUGAAAUGCGCAGAUAUCAGGAGGAACACCGAUGGCGAAGGCAGGUCUCUGGGCCGAUACUGACGCUGAGGAGCGAAAGCGUGGGGAGCAAACAGG
rnacentral:rRNA from 1 species